rnacentral:tRNA from 1 species
GGAAGUAUACAGAUAGCGCAGCAGCCCCCGAAGCUGCCGGGUGCGGGUUCAAGUCCCGUCCCGU